ACCAAGCUUGGAGAGAAAAAACAUUAAAAAGAUUCUACACAUUUUUUAAGAUAAUGAAGAACUACAUCUCUCCUCUUUCUUUUUAGGAUUGGUGAACUCAUGCUGUGCAUCAGUCAGGCCCAAGUUCCCUUUCCUCUUCUUCUCCUGUGCCCCAGACGUAUAGAUCAAUGAAUGAUUCUUGUAAAGAAACUCCUAAAAUGAACUUCUGAGACCAACCAUCAACCUGAGAAUUAAUGUGUGAAAGAAGAAAUUCUGCAUCUCUCCAGACUGUUGCUUUCAAAGCAACAGCCAAAAGUGUCCAUUCUAUGAAUGAUACAUAGAUAUAUACACAUUAUAACUGGAUGGAUAGUGAGAUUUUUCAGGUCUAUGAAUGAGGUAUUUAGCAGUUGAGCUGGCUCAGAAAUUAAGGCAAUUUUUGCCAAAUAUUGAGACCUGAGCUCCUUCCCUAUGAGCCCCAUGAUUGAAGGAAAGAACAAACUUCAGACAACUUGUCUCAGAUUUUUAUGUAGUUGGGGUUUCCUGGUAUUGGUCCAAAGAAGGAAGGAAAUCUAGUUUUCCAAUUUUUCUUUAUCCUAUAAUACUUCUUUCUGAUGAACUCAUGGAAAUAUAUAACUGUGCAUUUACUUGAUAUA